CAUCAUCCCAAAUCCAGAAACGGCAUCAAUACCCUGCACAAUAGAACACAAACUGUGUGUGAUCUGGCGUGUAGAAAAGGACUUGACGUCCUCGACCUUCCACCUGAUAUCCAACCACACUCGAGAAGGAGUACUUCAAGAACCAUCAUUGUCUCUAAAAUCGUACAUGGGAAAACUCUCCAUAAGUUUGGGGCAUGUAAACUGGUACACUGAUACGUACUCCUGCAGGAUAUGUACAUUCUUAGAUGUUCAUUUUCUUCACCUUAUUUAGAUUAAAGGGGCAGUAACCUUGAAGAAGAUGAUAGGGAUGGGUUUUCCUUUGUUAGACGUGAUAUACCCGUAACCCGCCACUAGCACUGAAAAGCCUUCUGGCUAAGGUUGUGAAGUUGUUCAGCCGUCUACUAAGCUUCUGCCAGUUGCUUAGAUGGGAGUUGUUGGUCGGAGGUGAUUGUAUCUUUCACAUAAUUGGAAUCGCACAUGACAAAUCAAGUUGGCUUCUCGAUGACUUCCUGCAGUCAUUUAUGAAAGCUCAUGGACCUCUGAAGAUAUCAGCAAUUGGGAAUUGGUCAGUUCUCUUACAGUGUCAGAUGACUUGCUGUGCUGCUAUUGUGCCAAAUACCAAAUGUAUCAGUGUUAAACUUAGUAAAGCUAAUACAAUCCAACUUUUCUUCUUUGUAUGUGUUCUUUACAUUAAAAGAACAAGAUUCUCCGGUGAGAUCGAGUUGAGAUACCUCAUCGGCAAAACCUUGAUGGAACCAUUGUCAUAUGCUUCUUCUGA